AGUCGAGCGAGGAAGCUUGUAGCAAUACGAGUCAUUCGAGCGGCGUAAGGGGCAGUAAUACCUGGGAACGUACCCUGAGGUCGGGGAUAGCUGCUGGAAACGGCGAGUAAUACCCGAUGAUCUCGGAAGAGCAAAGGCUUGCCGCCUUCGGAGCGGCCCAGGCGAUAUUAGCUAGUUGGUGGGGUGAUGGCCUACCAAGGCAUAGAUGUCUAGCGGGUGUGAGAGCACGACCCGCGCCACUGGCACUGAGACACUGGCCAGACACCUACGGGUGGCUGCAGUCGAGAAUCUUCGGCAAUGAGCGCAAGCUUGACCGAGCGACGCCGCGUGCGGGAUGAAGGCCUUCGGGUUGUAAACCGCUUUGGUCCGAAAGAAAGGGCAACUUGAUCGAUCGGAGAAACAAGGACGGGCUAAGUUCGUGCCAGCAGCCGCGGUAAGACGAACCGUCCAAACGUUAUUCGGAAUCACUGGGCUUAAAGGGCGCGUAGGCGGCCGAGCGGGUCGUUAGUGAAAUCCCCCAGCUUAACUGGGGAACUGCUGACGAUACCACUGUGGCUCGAGGAAGGAAGGGGCAAUCGGAACUGUCGGUGGAGCGGUGAAAUGCGUUGAUAUCGACAGGAACGCCGGUGGCGAAAGCGGAUUGCUGGUCCUUUUCUGACGCUGAGGCGCGAAAGCCAGGGGAGCAAACGGGAUUAGAUAC
rnacentral:rRNA from 1 species